AUUGAACGCUGGCGGCAGGCCUAACACAUGCAAGUCGAGCGGAUGACGGGAGCUUGCUCCUUGAUUCAGCGGCGGACGGGUGAGUAAUGCCUAGGAAUCUGCCUGGUAGUGGGGGACAACGUUUCGAAAGGAACGCUAAUACCGCAUACGUCCUACGGGAGAAAGCAGGGGACCUUCGGGCCUUGCGCUAUCAGAUGAGCCUAGGUCGGAUUAGCUAGUUGGUGGGGUAAUGGCUCACCAAGGCGACGAUCCGUAACUGGUCUGAGAGGAUGAUCAGUCUCACUGGAACUGAGACGCGGUCCAGACUCCUACGGGAGGCAGCAGUGGGGAAUAUUGGACAAUGGGCGAAAGCCUGAUCCAGCCAUGCCGCGUGUGUGAAGAAGGUCUUCGGAUUGUAAAGCACUUUAAGUUGGGAGGAAGGGCAGUAAGUUAAUACCUUGCUGUUUUGACGUUACCGACAGAAUAAGCACCGGCUAACUCUGUGCCAGCAGCCGCCGUAAAAC
rnacentral:rRNA from 1 species